rnacentral:rRNA from 1 species
GACGAACGCUGGCGGCGUGCUUAACACAUGCAAGUCGAACGGAAAGGCCCUGCUUUUGUGGGGUGCUCGAGUGGCGAACGGGUGAGUAACACGUGAGUAACCUGCCCUUGACUUUGGGAUAACUUCAGGAAACUGGGGCUAAUACCGGAUAGGAGCUCCUGCUGCAUGGUGGGGGUUGGAAAGUUUCGGCGGUUGGGGAUGGACUCGCGGCUUAUCAGCUUGUUGGUGGGGUAGUGGCUUACCAAGGCUUUGACGGGUAGCCGGCCUGAGAGGGUGACCGGCCACAUUGGGACUGAGAUACGGCCCAGACUCCUACUGGAGGCAGCAGUGGGGAAUAUUGCACAAUGGGCGGAAGCCUGAUGCAGCAACGCCGCGUGCGGGAUGACGGCCUUCGGGUUGUAAACCGCUUUCGCCUGUGACGAAACGUGAGUGACGGUAAUGGGUAAAGAAGCACCGGCUAACUACGUG